GCUACAUCCACAAUUACGAAGAAGCGGGCGAGGCAUGCUGACUGGUACGACUACCAACGGGGCUGGUGAGGGGUGAAAACCUGUUGCUCUUGCGAGCCUUCCCACAUUUGCAAAAAGGGGCCACCACAGUGGAUUUUAUAGUUUCCAUCGAUACCCUGUGAGGGCACAGCAGCGAGCCUCGACUGAUCCAGUCUGGUCUUGUCGAUCUGCAUUACGAUUUGGCAACAUUUUAUGUCAGAUGCCUUUCCUGACACAA